GACCUAACCCCGAAAAGCCUUAAAGUUCUUCGGAUAUGGUCGCAAAUCCGUCCAAAGUAAAGAACUCCUAAUCAGAGCUACUUUGGACGGUCAUAUCUCGAAAGGGGUAUGGGUAUACCUCACGGGGUAUAUC
rfam:Candidatus Kaiserbacteria bacterium RIFCSPHIGHO2_02_FTLL_49_11 rifcsphigho2_02_scaffold_5294, whole genome shotgun sequence.